rnacentral:rRNA from 1 species
UACGUAGGGCGCAAGCGUUGUCCGGAAUUAUUGGGCGUAAAGAGCUCGUAGGCGGCUUGUCACGUCGGGUGUGAAAGCCCGGAGCUCAACUCCGGAAGUGCAUUCGAUACUGCGUAGCUAGAGUACUGGAGAGGAUGGUGGAACUCUCGGUGUAGAGGUGAAAUUCGUAGAUAUCGAGAAGAACACCGGUGGCGAAGGCGGCCAUCUGGACAGAUACUGACGCUGAGACGCGAAAGCGUGGGGAGCAAACAGG